AAAAAGUUAUGUACCGAAGACAGUAAGUGCUAAAUGCUUAAUUUCUUACCGAGGACAAUUACUUAAUACUUUUAAGUCUUUGUCUUUGCGUACAAAGACUUUUUUAAUAUA
rnacentral:sRNA from 1 species